rnacentral:tRNA from 2 species
CGCGGGGUGGAGCAGUGGUAGCUCGUCGGGCUCAUAACCCGAAGGUCGGCAGUUCGAAUCUGUCCCCCGCAACCA